UGUUUUUUCUUUAUACACAGGCACCUUUUUUUCUUUUUAUAACCAUUUGGAAGUAAUUUCAACCUAGAUACUUCAUCAUACAUCUCCCAAGUUAUGAAAACAACAAAAGUGUUCAAAUGGACUAAAUUGUUCAGUCACCUGGGAAUAAAAGACUCAUCACUUAGAACAUAGGGAAGAGCUAGCUCUUCAUCAGUGGAUAGAGGAAUGCUCUGAAAUGCAGAAAUACUUACUAUGAAGAUAAAUAAACUCUCUCUCCAAGGAAGAACUAUUGAGAGGAAAGAGAAAUUCUAGGAAGAUCAAACCAUUGACUUUUUCAUUAUUUCUACUGCUGGUUACACAUUUUGAGAACAAGGUAUCUUCUCUUUGAUAAUCAAUAUUUAAAAAAUAACAGCCUAGACAUACUUAUUGUAACAAUAGAAAUAAACAAACAUUGAAUGUU